UACGGAGGGUGCGAGCGUCGUUCGGAAUCACUGGGCGUAAAGCGCGUGUAGGCGGCCUCUUAAGUCCGAUGUGAAAGCCCGGGGCUCACCCCCGGAAGUGCAUCGAAUACUGGGAGACUCGAGUACCGGAGAGGAAGGUGGAAUUCCUGGUGUAGCGGUGAAAUGCGUAGAUAUCAGGAGGAACACCGGUGGCGAAGGCGGCCUUCUGGACGGAUACUGACGCUGAGACGCGAAAGCGUGGGGAGCAAACAGG
rnacentral:rRNA from 1 species